GCUCGCGAGGCCAAGGCGCAGGUACGGCGGCGCGAAUUUGAAGAUCUUCGGUUCAAGGACGGAGAGUCUGUUGAGGAUUUCGGGUUGCGCCUCGCCGCCCUCGUCGCGGAUCUGGAGCUAUACGGCGACCCCAUCACCGAGCACAAGGCCGUUCAAAAGUUUCUCCGAGUGGUGCCGCGGAAGUUCCGUCCGAUGGCCAUGGCGAUCGAAUCACUGAUCGAUCUGAAGACCAUGUCGAUCGAGGAACCCGUCGGGCGCUUCUCGGCUUGUGAGGAUCACUACGAUCUCGACGAUGCCACGCAGUCCACCGGGCGCCUCAUGCUCACGCACGAGGAGUGGAUGGCCAGAGAAAAGCACGACGGCGGCAGCGGAUCGUCAUCCAGUGCGGGCAGCGGCAAGAACAAGUCGCCCGCUAAACCGAAAGGCGCGGGCGGCGGCAAGCCUGCGUCAGGAAACCAGGGUGCAGGUGGAUCGGGAGGCUCAGGCGGCAGGAAGAAGAAAGGCAAAUGCCAUCACUGCGGCAUCCCGGGGCACUGGAAAAAGGAGUGCCGGACGUGGCUUCGUGAGCAGGAGCAGAAAGGCACCCAGGAGCAGGCUAAUCUGGUGCAGGGUGGCGCGGAGCACGACCCAGGUCUGUAUAUGGCUGUGGUCACCACCGUUUCCACGCCACAGAUCGCUGCGCCGCAGGAAGUCUUCCUCAACGAAGAGAAGGUCAUGCGAGUGCCCUCGCCGGACGGAGUGUGGUAUUUCGACACCGGCGCCAGUAGCCACAUGACGGGCGACAGGGGAGUCUUUGCGUCACUUGACGAAACAGUGCACGGCACGGUGAAGUUCGGAGACGGCUCUGUAGUGGCCAUACAAGGGCGCGGCUCAGUGGUGUUCCGCUGCCAAGGCGGAGGGCAGCGCAUGCUCACGGGCGUCUUCCACAUCCCGAGUCUGCGCACGAAUAUUGUGUCAGUAGGGCAGCUAGACGAAGCAGGCUGUGUCGUCAACAUACAAGAAGGCGUGAUGACCAUCCAGGAUCCAGGACAGCGCACACUGGCACACAUUCGUCGCUCUGGUAAUCGCCUGUACACUGGGGCGUUGGAGAUCGACACGCCCAGGUGCUUGCUGGCACUGGGAGACGACGUGACCUGGCGUUGGCACGCACGCAUGGGGCAUUUGCAUUUCCGUGCUCUCCGUGCAAUGUCAUCGAAGCAGAUGGUGCGGGGCAUGCCAGUGAUCGACCGCGUCGAAGAAUACUGUGAUGGGUGCGCUCUCGGCAAGCAACAUCGCACGCCGUUCCCACAAGUCGCCGCGUACCGCGCAGAGCGCUGGCUGGAGCUCGUGCACACUGACCUUUGUGGGCCGAUCGAGCUGACCACACCUGGAGGAAGCAAGUAUUUUCUGCUGAUUGUGGACGACUACAGUCGUUACAUGUGGUUGGAGCUGCUCAAAUCCAAGGACGAAGCCUUUGCACGGUUCAGAAAGGUGCAAACUCUCGCGGAGGCAGACGGGAGCUGCAAGCUGCACGCAUUCAGAUCUGAUCGGGGGGGCGAGUUCAACUCCAAUGAGUUCAAAGCCUACUGUGAAGAAAUUAGUGUCAAGCACUACACAACUGCUCCGUACUCGCCGCAGCAAAAUGGAGUGGUAGAGCGGAGAAAUCAGACGGUCGUGGAAAUGGCCAGAUGCAUGUUGAAGAGCAUGGACAUGCCAGCGUACUUCUGGGCGGAGGCGGUGAGAACCGCCGUGUAUGUGCUGAAUCGCGCGCCCACACGCAGUCUGGAGGGUGUCACGCCUUAUGAAGCGUGGCACGGCCGUAAGCCUAGCGUGCAACACUUGCGCACGUUUGGGUGCACGGUUCAUGUCAAGAACGUCGGCCCCGGCGUCACGAAGCUAAGCGAUCGCUCAACGGCAAUGGUGUUCAUUGGAUACGAGGAAGGUUCCAAGGCCUAUCGUGUGUACAACCCAACAACGAAGAAGGUGCAGGUGACUCGAGACGUGAUCUUUGAAGAAAGCAGGCCCUGGACAUGGCGCGCACCGGGCACGGCAGUGGACCGCGCCGCGCCGACGACCUUCACAGUCGUGUACACCACUGCCGGCGGGGUGCACGAGAUAGACACAGGGUCUCCUACGUGUGCCUCGACGCCGCAGCGGUCCCCAACGCCCACAACACCUGCACCCGCGGCCUCACCUGCUGGGGUGAUCACGCCGGCUUCAAGUACAUCAGGGACGCCAGAGUCCACUCUGGCAACACCUGCAGCAGCGGACGGAGACUACUCGGCCACCCUGCAGUCACACGACUCCAGACACGACGUGCCAACAGGACAGCCAGUGCGCUUCCGGAGCUUCACGAGUGUACUGGAGGAAACUGAAGAUCAGGCAGUGCGUGAGCAGUUUGAGCGCUGCCUGCUCGUGCGUUGCAUGUUUAGCGUGGAGGAGCCAAGCGAUGUGGACGAAGCGCUGGCUAGCAAGGCAUGGAAAGGGGCCAUGGAUGUCGAGAUGCAGUCCAUUGUCGAAAAUGGCACAUGGAAGCUUGCUCAACUCCCGGCUGGGCACAAAGCAAUAGGACUGAAGUGGGUGUAUCGUGUCAAGCGUGAUCCGGCAGGCAAUGUAGUCAAGCACAAAGCUCGUCUCGUCGCAAAGGGAUAUGUCCAGCGUCAGGGGGUGGAUUUUGAGGAGGUUUUCGCCCCCGUAGCUCGCAUGGAGACAGUUCGGCUGCUGCUGGCUCUCGCCGCGCACUCUGGCUGGGAAGUUCACCACAUGGACGUGAAAUCAGCCUUCCUGAACGGCGAUCUCACUGAGGAGGUAUAUGUUGAUCAGCCACCGGGGUAUGAAGUUGCAGGCCAGGAAGGAAAGGUACUCCGACUGCACAAGGCUCUGUAUGGGCUGCAUCAGGCACCGCGG
rnacentral:rRNA from 1 species